rnacentral:lncRNA from 1 species
CUCAGCUCCAACACUGGCAAACCUUCCCUGACUUCCCCAGGCAGAUGAUUUGUUCUUUCUCUUUUGAGUCCUCUGCAGUUUCAAAUACUGCCAUUUUUAUAAUUGCCUUGUUUUAUUUUAUCACGUCUCUCAGUCUGUGUCUCCCACUGGGCUGUGAACUCUACGGCAGAAGAACGACUCCUCAUUUGUUUGCUGGCUACCUGGAACCUCAGACAGGCCUGGCACUCAGAGUGCUCAAGAAAUAUUUUUGGGGGCCGACCCAGUGGUGCAGCAGUUAAGUGCUCACAUUCUGCUUCCCAGUGGCCCAGGGUUCACGGGUUCAGGUCCCGGGUGCGGACACGGCACCGCUUGGCACACCAUGCUGAGGUCUUAGGCCUGCUGGCUUUUGGACGGGGACUAUGCCGUCAGCUCUCCGGUUCCCAGGCCUUCGGACGUGGACUGGAACUACACCAUUGGCUUUUCUGUGUCUCCAGCUUACCAUCUGCAGAUAACACUUAAUUUGUUCAAGUCACACAGUAAAGG